rnacentral:lncRNA from 1 species
UUUUUUAAAGUGGGAUCGUUGUACAUUGACGCGCGGGGUCGUUGUAUAUAUUGAUUAUCAAGUUUUACUUUUUUUGUUGUUAAUUAUCAAGUUUUAUAUACGUUUUUUUUGUUAAUUAUCAAAUUUUACGGUUUUUUUUGUUAAUUAUCAAGUUUUAAGUUAUUUUACCAUUUUUGUUAAACUAAUUAACUAGUUAAAAUUAAAAAGAACAAAAAAAGAAAAAAAAGAAAAAAUUCCGGUGGCCCGCGGCGCCCCUCUCUCUCUCCACGAUCUCGCUCUCUGUCAGAGACCGGUGGCCCGUGCGCGCGCGGCAGUACCGAGGCCGGCCGGCAGCGUUGAGGGCGGGCGAGCGAGGCGGCGCGCGCGCGGUGGGCGAGGGAGGCCGGUGACGGCCGGCGGCGCCGUACGNNNNNNNNNNNNNNNNNNNNNNNNNNNNNNNNNNNNNNNNAUGUUAAAAACACAAAUAUUAUAUCAAAAAAUUCAGAAAAAUAAAACUAAUUCAAUUCAAAAUUCUAAAAAUACAAAUAAUAUAUCAAAAAAUUAAGAAAAAGAAAACUAAUUCAAUUCAAAAUGUUAAAAAUACAAAUAAUAUAUCAAAAAAUUCAGAAAAAUAAAACUAGUUCAAUUCAAAAUUUUAUACGCCUAGGCAGGAGUACGACAGCGACGACAGCAGCGACGACGACGGCGGCAACUUAGAAGGCGACGACUACCAGUACAACGGCGGCGGCUAUGAAGACUACGAGUAUGCAUAUUAUACGCCUAGGCAGGAGUAUGACUAAAUCACUCCAAAUUUCAUGUAUCAUCAGUGGUAUCUCGAAUCAUUCGAAAAUGGACACCAAACACAUCACGGGUAAUAUAAUUCACAUGAUCCAUUCAACAAAGUUUGGUACAAUAAAUUAUUACACAUCAUUUCUUCCCUUGUGUCCUUGCUUGCUUACGAUUGUGCCGUAUCCAUGGAGUAUCCUCAUCACUUAACUUAAUGCUUGGGUCGGUGUUCACUUUGAAGGGCGGAAUUUCAGCAAACAUAUUAUAAUCUUCUGACAUGUCUGUCUUGUCCUCCACUCCCACGAUGUUUCUUUUCCCUGAAAGAACAAUGUGGCGCUUUGGAUCAUCGCAUGAUGUACUGAUCGUUUUCUUAUCUUUCCGUUUCCUCGGUUUGCUACUCAUGUCCUUCACAUAGAAAACCUGAGCGACAUCUUUUGCUAGGACGAAUGGUUCGUCAAGGUAACCAAGAUUGUUGAAAUCCACCAUUGUCAUUCUGUAUUGCUGGUCCACCUUUACCCCACCUCCUGUUAGCUUGAACCAUUUGCACCGGAACAAAGGGACCUUAAAGGAGGGUCCAUAGUCAAGUUCCCAUAUCUCCUCUAUGUAACCAUAAUAUGUGACCUUUUGCCCAUUCUCGGUUGCUGCAUCAAAGCGGACACCACUGUUUUGGUUGGUGCUCUUUUUAUCUUGGGCGAUCGUGUAAAAUGUAUUCCCAUUUAUCUCGUACCCUUGGAAAGUCGUUAUAGUCGAAGAUGGUGUCUUGGCCAACAUGUACAGCUGAUCUACAACAUCAUUGUCAUUCAUUAAAUGUUUUCUCAACCAACUGCCGAAAGUCUCCAUGUGGGCCUUCCUAAUCCAGGAUUCAGGCUUCCCCGGGUUGUCCGAGCGUAAAAUAUUCUUGUGUUUCUCAAAGUACGGAGCCACCAAGCUGGAAUUGGUCAGUACAGUGUGGUGUGCUUCAGUCAGAGAAUGGCCGUCCAUACAUAUCGUUGAUUUCCUUCCGAUCGUGCCUUUUCCACGUAGUCUCCCCUCGUGCCGCGAUCGAGGAAGACCAAUCGGCUUAAGGUCAGGAACAAAGUCAACACAAAACUCAAUUACCUCCUCAUUUCCAUAGCCCUUGGCAAUGCUUCCUUCUGGCCUAGCACGGUUACGAACAUAUUUCUUUAAUACUCCCAUGAACCUCUCGAAGGGGAACAUAUUGUGUAGAAAUACAGGACCGAGAAUGAAAAUCUCUUCGACUAGGUGAACCAAGAGGUGCGUCAUAAUAUUGAAGAAGGAUGGCGGGAACACCAACUCGAAACUGACAAGACAUUGGAUCACAUCGUUCUGUAACCGUGGUAGAACUUCUGGAUUGAUUACCUUCUAAGAGAUUGCAUUGAGGAAUGCACAUAGCUUCACAAUGGCUACUCGAACAUUUUCCGGCAAGAGCCCCCUCAAAGCAAUCGGAAGCAAUUGCGUCAUAAUCACGUGGCAGUCGUGAGACUUCAGGUUUUGGAACUUUUUCUCCGCCAUGUUUAUUAUUCCCUUUAUAUUGGACGAGAAUCCAGACGGGACCUUCAUACUGCUCAGGCAUUCAAAAAAGAUGACCUUCUCUUCUUUGGUCAGAGCGCAGCUGGCACGACCUUGAAACCAUUCCGGAUGCCGGUCAUCAGGGUCUUUCAAACGUUGCUGGUCCUGCCGUGCUUCCUUUGUAUCAUUUGUCUUCCCAUACACGCCCAAGAAGCUUAGGAGGUUCACGCAAAUAUUCUUCGUAACGUGCAUCACGUCGAUUGCAGAGCGGACUUCUAUGACUUUCCAAUAUUCUAGCUCCCAGAAUAUAGAUUUCUUCUUCCACAUGGCUGCGUGCCCGUCAGCUCCCUUCGGAACUGAUUGUCCGCCAGGACCCUUUCCAAAGAUGACUUUCAAAUCCUUGACCAUAUCAAAUACCUCAGUACCAGUGCGUUCCGCAGGCUUUGGCCGGUGAUCUGCCUUGCCGUUGUAAUGCUUGCCUUUCUUUCUUACUGGAUGAAUUUUCGGAAGAAAUCGACGAUGCCCAAGGUACACGUUCUUCUUACAAUUUGGCAAAUCUACACUUUCAGUCUCAUGUAAGCAGUGCGUGCAUGCAUUGUAUCCCUUAUUUGACAGUCCCGAAAGGUUACUAAGAGCAGGCCAAUCAUUGAUGGUUACGAAAAGCAACGCUCGUAGGUUAAAUUCCUCUUUUUUGUGCUCAUCCCACACACGGACACCAGGUCUGCCCCACAGCUGUAAAAGUUCAUCAACUAAUGGCCUUAGGUACACAUCGAUGUCGUUGCCGGGUUGCUUCGGACCUUGGAUGAGCACUGGCAUCAUAAUGAACUUCCGCUUCAUGCACAACCAAGGAGGAAGGUUGUAGAUGCAUAGAGUCACGGGCCAGGUGCUAUGGCUGGAGCUCUGCUCGCCAAAAGGAUUCAUGCCAUCUGUACUUAGACCAAAUCUUAUGUUCCUUGCGUCAGCUGCAAAAUCUUUGAACUCUCUGUCGAUCUUUCUCCAUUGCGUUCCAUCUGCGGUGUGUCUCAACUCCCCGUCCGACUUACGGUCCUCUUUGUGCCAUCGCAACAACUUGGCAUGCUCUUUGUUCCUGAACAGACGUUUCAACCGUGGUAUUAUAGGAGCAUACCACAUCACCUUGGCGGGAACCCUCUUCCUGGGUUUCUCGCCAUCAACAUCGUCACCAGGGUCAUCGCCUCUGAUCUUAUAACGCAAUGCAGUGCAUACCGGGCAUUCAUUCAAAUUCUCGUAUUCACCGCGGUAGAGGAUGCAGUCGUUGAUGCAUGCAUGUAUCUUCAGAACCUCUAAACCUAGAGGGCAGACAACCUUCUUUGCUUCGUACGUACUGGCGGGCAACUCGUUAUUCUUUGGAGACAUAUUCUUCAACAUUUUCAGCAAGUUUUCAAAUGCCGAGUCAGCUACACCUGCCUGUGCCUUCCAUUUCAGCAAAUCCAGUGUGCAGCCCAGCUUUUUCAGACCAUCAUCGCAUCUGGGGUACAACGACUUUCUGUGAUCCUCUAACAUGCGAUCCAAAUUCUCCCUCUCCUUUUCAGUUUCGCAGCGUCUCCGUGCAUCAGCAAUGGUCCGACCAAGAUCAUCAACGGUCUCAUCACGUGCCUCUUCUUCACCUUCACCUUCCCCUUCACCUUCCCCUUCACCUUCAGCAUCCUCCAUGAAAGUAUCACCGAAAUGAGCAAGAUAGCUUUCAUCGAUGAAAUCAUCCCCUUCUUCAUCUUCUUCCAUUAUAACCCCUCUUUCUCCAUGCUUGGUCCAACAAUUAUAGCUUGGCAUGAAACCGUGCCGAAGCAGGUGCANNNNNNNNNNNNNNNNNNNNNNNNNNNNNNNNNNNNNNNNNNNNNNNNNNNNNNNNNNNNNNNNNNNNNNNNNNNNNNNNNNNNNNNNNNNNNNNNNNNNNNNNNNNNNNNNNNNNNNNNNNNNNNNNNNNNNNNNNNNNNNNNNNNNNNNNNNNNNNNNNNNNNNNNNNNNNNNNNNNNNNNNNNNNNNNNNNNNNNNNNNNNNNNNNNNNNNNNNNNNNNNNNNNNNNNNNNNNNNNNNNNNNNNNNNNNNNNNNNNNNNNNNNNNNNNNNNNNNNNNNNNNNNNNNNNNNNNNNNNNNNNNNNNNNNNNNNNNNNNNNNNNNNNNNNNNNNNNNNNNNNNNNNNNNNNNNNNNNNNNNNNNNNNNNNNNNNNNNNNNNNNNNNNNNNNNNNNNNNNNNNNNNNNNNNNNNNNNNNNNNNNNNNNNNNNNNNNNNNNNNNNNNNNNNNNNNNNNNNNNNNNNNNNNNNNNNNNNNNNNNNNNNNNNNNNNNNNNNNNNNNNNNNNNNNNNNNNNNNNNNNNNNNNNNNNNNNNNNNNNNNNNNNNNNNNNNNNNNNNNNNNNNNNNNNNNNNNNNNNNNNNNNNNNNNNNNNNNNNNNNNNNNNNNNNNNNNNNNNNNNNNNNNNNNNNNNNNNNNNNNNNNNNNNNNNNNNNNNNNNNNNNNNNNNNNNNNNNNNNNNNNNNNNNNNNNNNNNNNNNNNNNNNNNNNNNNNNNNNNNNNNNNNNNNNNNNNNNNNNNNNNNNNNNNNNNNNNNNNNNNNNNNNNNNNNNNNNNNNNNNNNNNNNNNNNNNNNNNNNNNNNNNNNNNNNNNNNNNNNNNNNNNNNNNNNNNNNNNNNNNNNNNNNNNNNNNNNNNNNNNNNNNNNNNNNNNNNNNNNNNNNNNNNNNNNNNNNNNNNNNNNNNNNNNCGACUAAAGGCCUUUGGGCACCUUUAGUCGCGGUUGGCCUGGCCAACCGCGACUAAAGCCCCUCACGUGCACCAGCUGGCCACCGAGCGCCCUGGGCCCAGGCCUUUGGUCGCGGUUCGUCUGCCGAACCGCGACUAAAGACUUCAUUAGUCGCGGUUCCUACAGUUUCGCGACUAAUGGGGCUGGACGAAAGCCUCUUUUUCUACCAGUGCUAGACAUCGUCCAAGAAAAACUUUUGAGACGGGGAGAUCACAAUCUCGAAUAGCAUGGGAUCAAAUUUAUAUACGCGCGCUCUAAGGGGUGCCCCCCUCUCGGUCCCAACCGGAAACACCCAUGCCCCCUGACCGGAUGACUGGCUUUAAUCCAGGGCCAUGGAACCAUCAUCACGGCCUCUCCUUUUGGUGUGUACCAGAAAAGCGGUUUGCAACUUACUAAACCAUAUUCCUUGCAGAAAACAUGUGGUAGUACAAGGAAGGAAAUGACAGGAACUGGACCGAUACGGUUUGACACUGAAGUCACAUAGUCUGGCAUAAGACUGGCAUGCUACGACACUGCCAUCUUACCCAUCCUCAUGCCAACACAUGGCCAUUCAUACUCACAUACAUCCACUUAUGGAUCAUCGAACUCACUUACCUCAAUAUUGCAUAAAAUAACGUUCAUCGAUAUGCUCCUCAACAUGCCAUGAAACUAACUAAAUGCAAAACAUGCCAAGACACUCAUCAUAUCAAAAGUUCAAACAUGCUUGCCUGGUUCAGAGUAGUCGGAGCCUAGCUCGGUGAAGUUCGCGGCUCCGUCACCUCCUUCGGUAUCUACGGUAUAAAGAAAAUAUGUGCGCUAUCAUAAAUACCAAGGGGUGCAUAAAAAGAAUUCCAAAUAUUUUUCAAAUAAACCUGAUAAAAAACUAGACAAAAUUUUAAAGAGAACAGAAAAAGAAUCAAUCAAAAAUACUUUUCUGUUUAAAAGCUAUAAGGGUUUUUGUCCAGGGACUCAUCUGUAAUGAAACAGAAGAUUUCCAGGGGCUAGCUUAUAAAAACAGAAAACGCUUCAGCAGAAACUACGCCAGCCCAAAGGGAAAGCGCAUUUGGCAAAAGGCGUUUUCAGAAAACGCUUCGUUUAGAAAGGACAGAGAGGCUGACAGCGGGUCCCGCCUGUCAGGUUUGAACUUUCAAAAAGGGGGGAAACGAAGCUCGUCGGCGCCCGAGAGCCGCGGUGGUCGCCGGCGGCGAUCCACGGCGAGGCAGGGGGAUCGGAGGGUACCUUCGUGCUCAGGGCGCCAUUCCGCGUCGGUUGGUGGUGGUGGUGGUCGCCGGUGAGUACCACGUCGACGGCGAGCUUUGCUCCGGCGGACGGCGGCUCGGGUGGUCGAGGGACUCGUCGGAGAGGGCUGCAGAGAUCAAAUUGAGGAGGGGGUUAGGCUCCUGGUAGCUAGAGGGAGUAAUUGACGGGGUUAGAGCGCCGGAGAUGGCCUCACCGGAGCGAAUCGUGGUGGAGGCCGAGGCGGAUCGGGGCGGCCGGAGUUGGGGGAGGAGACCUCCUCGAGGUCCUCCUAGUGGCCUGGCGGGGCGUUGGUGAGGAGUGGUGAUGAUGCGUACACGAGGGUGAGCUCGGGGGCCCUUUUUAUAGGCGGCCCGAGGCGGUUGCCGUGAACGGGGGUCUCCGGCGAGUGAUUACGGCGGUGCUGUGGUUGGGCAGUGGGAUUAGGGGCUUGGGCAUCGCCGUUGAGGUCCACCGGUUCCAUUUAGGUGCUAAUCGGGCUGGGACCUGGUGCUAUGGGCGAGCUCGACGGAACAGGGGUGGCGCGGCCCGUCGGCGACAGGGAGCAUGUUCCGUGCUUGCCGGGCCACGGCGACGGUGCCACGGGCGUGCGCUGGCAUGGCAGGGACACACGGAGAGCCGGGGGGUGUUGGGCGGCGCCGGGUGGCGUGGCGAGAGGGCUCGGGCCCUUGUUGGCCGCCACGGAAGGUGCAGCCGCUCCAGAAGCUUCCAACGCCGGCGAGGCUCGUUGCUACCGACGCCAGGAAUCGGCCAAGCGUGCGUGCGGGGUGCUGGCCAGGGAGAAGAGGCUGCGUGCAACGCGCCAGGGCGCACUGUGGCCGCGUGACCGAGUUUGACGAAGGAAAAAUGACUGAAUCUCUGAACUUUCUGAACUUGCAAAGGAACAGUGCAGCUCAGGUGUUCGAUAGAAUGUUUUUGGCCUCUGAGGAUUUUUCCUUGAGCUGAUUUUUGGUGGAGUGGCUACUCAUUGCUCCAGUAGGCUGCCUAAUUUUUGGUGAAUUUUUUUUGGAGCAGUGUAGAUAUGAAUUUCACCAAAUUUGGCAAAUCUGGUCCAAAUUUGCAGAGACUGAAUUUUGAAAAAUUUGAAAAGAGGAGGAGUGGAUCAAGAUGGUUCUGGGUUGUGGGUACAAAGGACUAUCCAGGAGAGUUGGUUUGAGGUCAAAACUCAAAUGCAAAAGGGUACUUGCUUUGAAAAUCACUCAGGCUCCAAAUAAUUUUCAGAAAUGAUUUGAGGGGAAAAACAAUUAGAAUAAAAUCCAAAACUUGCUUGGAUUAGUUGGGACAGAGAACUUAGGUUGAUUACAAGGAGGAGGGGAGGUUUUGGAGGGGUUUCACCACAUGGGCAAAAUACAAAGUCAUGGGUGGUUCUCAAGAUAUGAAAUCCCAAGUUUUUCAUAGAGUUUCUUUUUAAAAGAAAAAGAUUAAACUCCCAAAAUAAAUUUGAGAGGGAACCAACAGAGAAGAAGUUUCAAAAGAUCAAACACCAAAGUUUGAAACAGAUAAAAUCCUUGCCAAAGCAAAGGAAGUUUUUUUUAAGAGGAAGGUUUUCUGAAAAAAAUUAAAUGGCCUCUUUUAAAAAAACCACAAAGUUUUUGCUGAAGACCAAAUAAAAAAUUUUGGAGUGUCACAUUCGACUACAUCAACCGCGUUACUAAAUGCUUCCGCUUUCGGUCUACGAGGGUACAUGGACACACUCUCCCGUCUCAUUGCUAUGCAUCUCCUAGAUAGAUCUUGCGUGAUUGUAGGAAUGUUUUUGAAUUACUAUGUUACCCAACACAGCGUUCCUUGCUAGGGUUUGCUAUACUCACAGUCUCUCACCCUCUUCACCAGAUCUAAACAAGACUGUGUUGGCCUCUAUCUCUCUCUCCCCCCUCACAGCUGGUGAAGGAGCCAUUUGGAUCCCAUCGCACCGGGAAGGGGAGGAGGUGCAACGUUCACUCUGUCGCCUUCGGUGAGUGAGGCAAUCCACUGCCGGCUGCGUUGUUCUCUUUCACCCAACGCCUUUGUUGGAGGGCCACCGACCCCUUCUUCCUUGCUGCCGUACGUAGUGUGGGCAGAUCCGGCCUCCCGCAGCACGCCUAGCCACAUCCCGAUGACCCUAAGGUAUAAUUUUCUUUGAAACUGUCAUUGAUCUAGCUGCAUGCGAAUCUUUUUUGAUUCUGUAGUCGAAUCUAGGUCUUGGUUCAAAGAGAAAAGAAGGGUGGGGUUGGGUGGAGCAUGAAGCUAGGACGUGGUUCAAUGAGGAAAGGAGGGAGGGAAAGUAGUAUAGACUGGCUAUCCAACCGCUUUGUUGGUUGAAAACGGAAAAAGGGGGUAACCCAGUACACACAUCUGUAAGGAACCGAUCUCUUUGUUGAAAAGGGAAAGAAACUGGGGGGUCGGGUAGUUUGUGCAGGACUAGAUUUGCUGCCAUCACAUAGGAAAAAUGUUCAAAGAGAACAAAUAUGGGACCAACGCAGAUAUGCUGCUUGGCAACAUACUCUGCAUCACCCAUUUAUACGUGUGGACGCACAUUGUGCUGGCAUGUCCCAUACAACUAUUUUGCUAUUGUUAAUCUAAGAAUGCCGCUGGAAAAUUGAAGCAGUGCCACUGUUAAAAGUAAAUUGCAUUUUUAUUGAAUGUUGUUUUAAGAGAAUGUCUCUGUUAAUAUGAACCAAUGCAAACGUUUUAGAAAUGCUUCUGUCCUACUUUGUUUUCCAUCAAGAUAAGUUAGAUGCUUCUUUUUGUCGCCGUAUGUUUCAUCCUCCUUUAUUGGCUAGUAAUUGUUUCCUUUUUUGCCUUUGUUAAAACAGGGAUAUCUAUUCAACUUGUUGCUAUAGCGAACUUAAGUGUCACACCGACAACUCUACUUGAUUUCAGUGGAACUGCACAAAACGAGAUUGGAUUUCCUAUUCGUGUUGGUAGAUUCGUAUUUUAUCUUGUCCGCCUCAUGAAAGGUCAGUACAGGCCUUCAUCCACAUGAUUGUGCAGUGUGCUUUGAGAUGUUGUGCUACUUGUAUUGGUACCGUUUUAAAUAAAUGUUGAAUUGAAGCUAUUGUAUUGUUGUCUUUUCCCAUUAAGUAGUGAACAAAAAUGGGACCAACCCAGACAUGAUGCUUGUUGCUUUGUUACAACAAACUCUGCAUCAACCCCUUUAUAAGUAGAUGGAAGCACAUGGUGUUGUUGCGCCCACUCUCCCCUGAAAUUGUUUAUGCUUUUUGUUAAUCUAAUGCCCCUGGUAAAAUUAAGCAAUGCCACUCUCAGAGUUAACUACUGAAUCUUAGUACAAAACAGCAACACUUGUUAGGGAUCGACGGGAGUACCAUUUCUGUUAGGGAUCGGCCGGAGUACAUGUUUAAGAAAUGUAUUGUUGAGAUAACGUCUCUGUUAUUAUAUAUCAGUUACAGUGUUUUACAAAUGGUACUAUCCUACUUUGUAGUUCUUUCUACAUGCUUAACCAAGGUAUUGUUAAGAUAAUGUCUCUGUUAAUAUGAAUCAGUCGCUGAAAGUGCGUUAUGUCGACUAGAGGGGGGUGAAUAGGCGAUUUUUAAGAAUUCUUCACUGAGGAAUUUGCCGGUGAGGAAAUUCCUUAGCGAAGAACUAUUAGCAGCGGAAUAAGUACUCAGAAGUAAGCAUAACAGAAUACAAACAUGGUCAUCAUGAUGAAAUGAAGACUAGCACAGAGUACAGAAAGCGUAAUCACAGGAUAACACAAGAUGAAGACAAACAGACUGAAGAAAUUGAACUAAGGAAAUUGAGAAAGUCUUCAGUCAAAGUCUUCAAACACAGAUAUGAACAAACACUCAACACAGUAAUGAGGAAAUGAAAGGGUUGAGGAAAUAGAACCAGUAGGUUGGUGAAGACAAUGAUUUGGUAGACCAGUUCCAACUGUUGUCUCAGUUGUACGUCUGGUUGGAGCGGCUGAGUAUUUAAACUUGAGGACACACAGUCCCGGACACCCAGUCACUGAGCACGCAGCUCAGGACACCCAUUCCUCACCGUAUUCUCCUUGAACUAAGAUCACACAGAUCUCGUCCAAUCACUCGUGGUAAGUCUUCAGGCGACUUCCAAACCUUCACAGACUUGGUCACUCGGCCAUCCACAAUUCCUCUUGGAUGCUCUAGACCUUGAUGCCUAACUGUCUGGAAGAAGCAUAGUCUUCAAAGGUAACAAGCGUCGGAUCCACGCAGGAUCAAUUUCUUCAGUGAUGCUCAAUCACUUUGGGUUUGUAGGGGUUUGGUUUUGGGUUUUCCUCACUCGAUGAUUUUCGCUCAAAGUCCUCGGAGGAUGGGUUGCUCUCAAAUGACAAGUGUCAAGUUCUCUCGGAGCAGCCAACCAACUAGUGGUUGUAGGGGGCGGCUAUUUAUAGCCUAGGGAGCAGCCCGACAUGAUAAGACAUAAAUGCCCUUCAAUGAUAUGACCGUUAGGUGGAUAAGAUAUUUUGGGACAGCUGGCGCGCAGCACAGCAACGGUCGGAAAUUUGACUCUCAAAUUCCUCAGGGCUAUCAUGUUCCUCACUGUGUAGGUAAUUCGCACUGACGGAUUCCUAACUCCUCAGUCAGAACAAAUUCAUCAGCGACCAGAAGAACUUCGUCUCUGUCACUGAAGAAAGUGACUGAACUGUAUGAGAUUUCCAAAGGCUUCACUCGAAGGGAUUGGUAGGUGUAGGAUUUUGAGUUGAGCAUCACAUGGAAAUUUUUCCUUAGUAUUUCCUCGACCCCCUUUAACAGUACGGUGUUUCCUAUGACCCAAGAAAGAGAAAAUGAAACUACGAAAACAAAAGUCUUCACGCUUCAUGUUCCACAAAUGAAUACCAAGUCUUCAAGGUCACACCAAUUUCUUCACUUUCAAAGUCUUCAGAAAGUCUUCAGAAUAUCAAAGUCUUCAGUUGAAGAACUUCAUUUUUAAGGGUCGACUUUCUCUGUAAAUAUCAAACUCCUCAUAGACUUAUAGACCUGUGUACACUCACAAACGCAUUAGUCCCUUAACCUAUAAGUCUUCAAUACACCAAAAUCACUAAGGGGCACUAGAUGCACUUACAAUCUCCCCCUUUUUGGUGAUUGAUGACAACAUAGGUUAAGUUUUCAACGGGGAUAAACAUAUGAAGUGUAUACACUGAUAUUGAGGAAUUUGAUUACAAGAUAUAGAAGAACUCCCCCUGAAGAUGUGCAUAGUGAGGAAUUUGCUUUUGAGGCAAUGCACAUUUGAAGAGUUGAAUCAUGGAGAUCUCCCCCUAUAUCUUGUAAUUCAUACACGCAUUUGAUAUAUAAUAUGAAGAAUUUGAAAUGCAUGAUGAAAUAUGGUGCCUGAUGACAUUCAGCAUGCGUGCAAUGUCAUUAACGAGGAAUAAGCAAGCAAAGCAUAAUGCAACAAAAGUAUCAGCGCACCAUCGGGUUUAAGAUUACAACUCGAUCCAAAUAAAAGUUUCAGAAGAACGAGAGUUGUAACUUAAAAAAUGCCCUUAAUAUAGACCCGCUUGAAGACUAACUCAGAUUUCUCCCCCUUUGUCAUCAAAUGACCAAAAGGAUUGAAACUGAGGACUAACGCCCCUGAAGAAUUUCAAGUCGAUGGAGGAGCGCCAGCGUUGUCGGGGUUGUUUGUUGUAGCAGGGCCUGCCGCAGUGUCGUCCAAAUCUUCAUACUCAUCAGUGUCACACGAUGAAGAAUAAGAGCUGGCCACCAGUGGAGGAAUUUUGACCCUCUUGAAUUUCUUCAGAGGAGGUGCAGACCAGUCAAAUUCUUCCUUGAGACCCAUAGUCUGUAGUUCUUCAGCGCUAUAGACAUGAGUGAGGACAGCCCAGGUGCGGUUGAAGGUUUCAUGAAGGUAGUAUUGGUUCUUCUUCACUACAUUGUGUGUUGAGGUCAUAUUGUGAAGAAGUGCACCAAACUGACGCUUUACCCAUUUGUGAUUGCGAUCAACCUUCUGAUGAAGACUGAGGAGUAACUCACGGUCAGUCAUCACCCUGGGUGUUGUGGCUUGAGGAUUUUGCUUGGCUGAGGUAUUUGCGGCAGAGUCAUGUGUGGCAGAAUCGUCAUUGGUAGAGUAAGAUGCAGCCUUGCGAAAUUGACCAUCCAAUGGAUGAAUGCCUUCAUCGAUCACAGCAGCGGCCUUGCCUUUAUCAUCAGCUGAUGAAACUGUCCGUUUGAGGACUUCAAUGGGAGGCAAGUAGCUACCAUGGUUUAGAGUGUCAGCUUUGUAAUUCAGUGAAGAUCUUGCCCUGAUGAAUCUCAUAAUCCAAGGAGCAUAGGGCUUCAUCUCGAAUGGUGACAUAGCAAUAUUGGCCAGAGUCCUCAUGAAGAAAUCAUGGAAGUUGACGGGAACGCCAUGAAUGAUGUUGAAAAGCAUAUUCUUCAUGAUGCCAACGACUUCUUCAUCAUUUGAGUCGUGGCCUUUGAUAGGACUCAUUGUCUUCGUCAGAAUUCGAUAUACAGUCCGAGGCACAUAGAGUAAUUCCUUGACGAGGAAUUUGGUUCUUGGGGCCUGCCUUGGCUUCAAAGGCUUCAUCAUCACUUGCAUAUAGUGAUUUGAAAGUUCUGGUUCAUUGUAGAUACAACGAGCACCAUCAAGUGGAGGACUGAGUGGUAGAGCACGAAGCAAUUCAGUUGUUGGUGCCUUGUAGUGAGUAUUUUCAGACAUCCAGUCUAAUACCCAUGAGUUCACGUCUUCAGCAUCUCCGGUGAUGUGUAGAGUUGCAUAGAAUUGAAGAAUGAGUUCUUCAUUCCAGUCACAGAUAUCAAUGCAGAAAUUCAGAAGUCCUGCGUCGUGAAGAACACUGAGGACUGGCUCAAAGCCGGGCAGAGACUCCAUGUCCACAUGAGGAAUAUGUGCAUGAUCGAAGACUUUGUCUUUGUUGAAGAGCACUGAUAAAUAGAAAUUGGCUUGGCUGGCAGUCCAGAAAUGCCUCUUCCUUAUGCGAGCAGAAUCAUAUGGAUUAUAAUCAGUGAAGAAUAUGUGCUCGGCAAAGAAAUCUUCAGCCUUGAACUUCUGUUUGCUUGAGAACGGAUUCUUUGGCUUUGGCAGAGGGGUGUCAGUGAGUUGCAUCACCACCUCAGGAAUCGCGAGCUCAGGUUCUUCAGGCUGAGGAAUUUCUUGUUCCUCAACAGGUGCAGUCCGAGGAUCAGCAGCAGCAGGUUCAUCAGCACUAGUGGCUGGAAUUUCUUCAUGGACAGAUGAAGUGGGAUGAGUUUCUUCAGAGCCCAUUUGAACAGUUGGAGCAGGGGACUGAGGUAUCUGUUGGAUUGGGGUGAAGAGUGGAGAAUUUGGAUGCUGACUUUCCCAAAAGUCAUCGUUCAUCACUGGCGUUGUGCUUCCAAUAUCCACUUCUUCUUCAAGUUCCUCAACACCAGCCUCUUCAGCUGUGAACUGAGGCAUAGGCGAGGAAAUGAUUGGGGUUGAAGGGAUUGCUUCCACUUCAAUUUCUUCAUCAAUCUGCUCUAACGAAGCAGCAGAAUGAUUUUCUUCAUCAGAUCCGCUUGGGAUCUCAUAGUCUUCUCCAAAAGGAACAAGGUCCUUUGAUGGCAUGGAGGAAAUCGGAACAGCAUCAAUUGGAUUUUCGAGUGAGCUGGUCAUUGGCUUCAUUUUCUUCGCAGCCGAAGAGUUUGACGCAGCUGAUGCCUUCCUUUUCUUCACUGCAGCUCGCUCUGCAGCCUUGGUCUUCUUCACAUCAGAAGCAGAUGGAAGAAUUGGAGUUGGUGUUGGUGCGGGAGGAACUGAGGAAUCUGGUUCAUUUUCUUCAGGCGCAACUGAUGCAGUAGCUCCUAUCUCUUCAGUUUCUUCAGGCGCACCACUAGUGGAUGCCCUGGCAAUUUCUUCAGCGGUUGGAAUUUCUUCACCAGCCCUGGAACGAGCAUUUUCUUCAGCAGGCUGAAAGUCAUCAGCGGUGCUGGCAUGUUCUUCAGCAGAGUCUGCAGCCUGAAGAUUUUCUUGUUGCGAUGGGGCUGCAACAUUUGUGAAUUUCUUCGUCAGAUUGACGAAUCUUACUUUAGCUCCUUGCCAAUCAGCAUAGUAGGCAUCAAAGUCUUUGAUGAGGGCUUGAAUUUCAGACUGAGCCUGGAGAAGUUCCUUAGGUGUCAUUCUGACAACAUUUUUCUUCAGGAGCUUCUCCUUUCUGUAUUGAGCUUUCCUGAUCUCUCUUGCCUUUUCAAACUUCCAUUUCUCUUCAGUGAUGAAAUGGGUCAAUAUAUGACUUUGUCCAGGGGUCAGAUGAAAAUCAGGCAUAGGGGUGUUAGAAUCCUUGUGCCAGAGAUCAAUGUAAUCGAGGAUUUUUCUCGGAUCCAACAGCAGUGGCACAGAUGUGCCUUUGGCUCUAGCGGCCUUCAUCUGUCUGUCUCUGAUGAUUUCUGCAAGUUCAUCAUCAGAAGGCACAUGGAAUGCGACCUGUUUCUUCUUUGGACUUGGCCGAGGACCUCGUCCAGCUGUUGCUUUGGUCUUCAACAGUGUGGGGCCUGAUGAGGAAAUUGGUGCAGUUGAGGAACUUGCUGAAACACCAGAGGCAAUCGAGAAACCAGCAGUCCUUUGACAUGUAGCCAGAUGCACAGGAGCUGAGGACUUUGAAGGAGCUGUUGAGGACUUUGGUGGAGUUGUAGCAGUGUGAGGAAUUUGCCGUGAGGGCACUGUUGGUGAAGCACUUGGCUUACGAGCAGGCUUCUUUGGCAUGGAUUCCUCGGUUUGACCGAGGCCUCAGUAGCAGUAGCAGUGGCAGAAUCCUCAUUGAAUUUCUUCACUGCCUCCUUGGCUUGUCUUGCCAAUUUAGCUUGGCGCUUAGCCCAUUCUUCAGGAAAGUCCUCACCACGUUUGAUGCUUGUGGGGUCAGCUACUUGGACAGGUGCCAAUGGAGCUCCUGGGCAUGGAGGAUUGAGGGCGAAUUUCUUCAUGUACUUUGGAGUCACAUAUCUGUAUUCCCUCCAUUCCCUUGCCCAUCUCCGUUCAAUCUUCUGAAUGCGCACCUUGCGCUGAUUUUUGUUUUCUUUGCCAAAUUUUGCUUCAUCAGGUGUGCAAUAGUCAGCAUAAAUUUCCUCAGGGAUUUCAAACGCAGUCAUAACCUCAGGUUUCUUUCCUCCUUUCUGCGGCUUCUUACCGUCUGCCAUAUUCUUCAGUUGAGGAAUUGAAAAAUCGAGUUCUCUGAAGAAGUAUGCAGUUUUUCUUCGAGGAACGCUGCAAAUGAGUUAAGUUAAUGAGAACCUAGUGAUUCAGCAGCAGACAUGAGUACCUAUGAACAGAGUACAGGUGCGAGGAAUUCGGUGAGGUCAUAUGCGUUCUGAGAAGGUUUUUCGAAAAGAACAAGUUUUGAGGAAUUUGACCAGAUGAACCUUGAGGAAUUUCACUAAGCGUUCUUGUCUUUAGGUUCCAGAGUUGUACAGAUCAAAGAUCCACACAAUUAGGAAAUCUUGAAGAAAAUGAUUGCUUAGAGAAACAAUUCAAGAUCAUAUGAUGUGAGGUGUUCAUAUGUGUGAAGAUUUGAAUAAUAAACACCUUUGAAGAUUUUCAUGAAAGUUUGAGAAUCAAAGUGAGUAAUAAAAGUAAUUUUUAAUUACCCAAAGUGAAGAACACGAUGAACUGAGAAGAACAAAUGUGAAGCUCGUCAGGUUAGAUCUCCCACGCCCUAACUUGGCAGAGGAAGACACCUAUGGUGGCGGCGGAGUGAAGAUUUCCGCGGUCGGUGUGAGUACGACGGCGACGAGGCCGAGGCAGCGAAGCUCUUCCUCACCAGCGAUGAUGGAGUAGCGGCGGCGCUAGGGUUUGAGGAGCUCGAGUGAGAUAGUAGCGAUCGAGCAGAGUAAAAGAAGUGAGGAUGGAGAGAGGGGUAUUUAUAGAAGCAGUGAAAAAUUGUUCGCCCGAAGAUUUAGGACGAACGCGCCCCUGACCAUUCUCCUUCUCACGACAUGUGUCACCCACGUACUGUGUAGUGGAGAUCGUGUACGAUCGUGGGCGAGUAAAAUAAUGCAUCGUGGGAUGCGGAAUGGUUUGAGCGGCAAAACCGAAAAUUUGGAUAAGAUUUGUUUUAAAGUUUCGUUCGCAAUUUCUUCAGCUGACAAGGACACAGUGAAGAUUUUGAACGAGUUUCAAAUAGAAUGCAUAUGAAGAAUUUGUGAAUAGAUUGGGUUGAGUAUAGCAUAGAGGGGGAAGGGUCCGAUCAAAUUCACUUAGCAGAAAAAGCAACUUGAAGAAAUAGCUAUAAGUGAAUGAUGUAGAGGACAUAAACUCACAUAUAUAUAUAUCCAAUGAAGAAAAACGAAGGAAACAGUGAAGAUUUUGAAAAGUUGAAGAAUUUGAAAAACUAAAGAAUUUCGAAACUGAGGAAAAACUCAAAUUGAAGAUUUUCAAUUUUUUGUGGUGGCGUGACCCACCGUAUAAGAAUGAUGAUUUCAGACACCGCGUACAAUUGUCGUAGGGUUCUGAGAAUCAAAUUCUUCAUUAAUUUCUUCACACUUAGAGUGUUAUUCUUCAUUGAUUGAAGAAAAACGUUUCUUCAUGUGUUGCACAUCUAAGUCAUCAAUUUUGCAUAAGUGUUAGGAUGUGUGUCCUUUUCAAAGAACAUUCGAAGAUUCUAAGAUAUUUAGCUCACACCGCAACUUGCUAAAUCUCUUCUCAUCCAAGGGCUUAGUGAAGAUAUCAGCUAGCUGUUCUUCAGUCUUCACGUGCUCGAUGGAGAUGUCGCCCUUCAACACAUGAUCACGAAGAAAAUGAUGACGAAUCUGAAUGUGCUUUGUCUUCGAGUGCUGAACUGGGUUGUGAGCAAUUUUGAUGGCACUCUCAUUGUCGCAGAGGAGAGGCACAUUCUUCACGUUGACGCCAUAGUCCUUGAGUGUUUGCUUCAUCCAAAGCAGUUGAGCACAGCAAGAGCCAGCAGCAAUGUAUUCAGCUUCCGCAGUGGACAGUGAUACGCAGUUCUGUUUCUUCGAGGACCAACAGACCAAAGAUCGUCCGAGGAAAUGACAAGUGCCAGAAGUUGACUUGCGGUCCACACGAUCACCAGCAUAGUCAGAGUCAGAAUAUCCAAUGAGAUCAAAAGCAGAGCCCUUGGGGUACCAUAAUCCUAGUGUUGGUGUGUGAGAUAGAUAUUGAAGAAUAUGCUUCACAGCCUUAUGGUGUGAUUCCUUCGGUGCAGCUUGAAAUCGGGCACACAUGCAAACACUAAGCAUUAUAUCUGGCCUAGAUGCACAUAAGUACAAUAAAGAACCAAUCAUGGAGCGGUAUACCUUGUGAUCGAAGUCAAUACCAUUUUCACCAGUGCAUAGAUGGCCAUUUGUGGGCAUAGGAAUUUUGACGCCUUUGCAAUCUUGCAUACCGAAUUUCCUCAGUACAUCUUUGAGGUAUUUCUCCUGAGAUAUGAAUAUGCCAUUGCGCUGUUGACGAAUUUGAAGACCUAAGAAGAAUUUCAACUCUCCCAUCAUAGACAUUUGAUAUUCUUCACUCAUCAUAUAGGCAAAUUCAUCACUAUAACAUUGGUCAGUACAGCCAAAGAUAAUAUCAUCAACAUAUAUUUGGCACACAAACAGUUCACCAUCAUAAGAUUUAGUAAAGAGAGUAGGGUCGAGUGAACCGGGUGUGAAGCCAUUCUUCACGAAGAAUUCCUUCAAUGUAUCAUACCACGCCCGAGGGGCUUGCUUGAGGCCAUAGAGGGCCUUAUUAAGUCUGAAGACUUUGUCAGGAUUCUUUGGAUCUUCAAAACCUGGGGGUUGAGCAACAUAUACUUCUUCCUCAAGCUUACCAUUGAGGAAUGCACUUUUCACAUCCAUUUGAUAUAAGAUGAUAUCAUGAUGGUUAGCAUAAGCAAGUAAUAUGCGAAUAGCCUCAAGUCUAGCAACAGGUGCAAAAGUUUCAUCGAAAUCAAUUCCUUCAACCUGUGUGUAGCCUUGAGCUACCAGUCGUGCCUUAUUCCUCACCACAAGGCCAUUUUCAUCUUGCUUGUUGCGGUAGAUCCACUUUGUGCCAAUGAUAUUAUGCUUGCGAGGAUCUGGACGUUUGACCAGUUCCUAGACAUUGUUGAGCUCGAACUGAUGUAAUUCUUCUUGCAUAGCCUGAAUCCACUCCAGCUCCAAAAAUGCUUCAUCUACCUUAGUGGGCUCUAUGAUAGAGACAAAAGCAUAGUGCCCACAAAAGUUAGAUAAAUGUGAAGCUUUUGAGCGUGUGCGAGGACCUGGUGCUCUAAUGUCAUCGAUGAUCUUUUCCACUUGCACUUCUUUUGCAACGCGAGGAUGAGCUGGUUGUCGCUGAGGAGUUUGAUCGGCAUUUUCUUCAGCACCAUUUUCCUCAGCAUUUUCUUCAGGUGUGUCAGCUCGAUGUUCUUCAUGAACUGGAAUGAAUUCUUUAGCAAAUUCUUCAGUAGGAAUGACAUCCUCAGUUGCCUUGAACUUGAUAGAAUCCUCAGGUGCUGGUUCAUCUAACACAGAAGGUAGGUGCUCUCUUUGCGAGCCAUUAGUUUCAUCGAACCGCACAUCUACAGUGUCAACAAUCUUGUGAAGAACAAUGUUGAAGACUCUGUAGGUGUGCGAGUCCUUUCCGUAACCAAGCAUAAAACCUUCAUGUGCUUUCGGUGCAAAUUUAGAAUUGUGGUGAGGAUCUCUAAUCCAACAUUUAGCACCGAAGACUUUGAAAUAACUCACAUUGGGUUUCUUGUCAGUGAGGAGUUCAUAGGCCGUCUUUUUGAAGAAUUUGUGAAGAUAUACUAUGUUGAUGAUGUGGCACGUAGUAUCAAUUGCAUCAAUCCAAAAACGAUGAGGCGUUUUGUAUUCAUCAAGCAUAGUGCGAGCCAUCUCAACAAGAGUUUUGUUCUUGCGCUCCACGACGCCAUUUUGCUGAGGAGUAUAGGGAGCAGAUAACUCAUGAGUAAUACCAGGUUCAUCAAGAUAGUCAUCAAGACCGGAAUUCUUGAACUCAGUUCCAUUGUCACUUCUGAUGUGCUUGAUCUUCACACCAAAGUUGGUUGAAGCCCUCGAGGAAAAACGUUUGAAGACUUCCUGCACUUCAUGUUUGUAAGUAACAAUGUGUACCCAUGUAUAUCGAGAGUAAUCAUAAACAAUGACAAAACCAUAUAGAGAUGCAUCAUUAGUGACUGCUGAGUAAUGAUUAGGUCCGAAGAGGUCCAUGUGAAGCAAUUCGAAUGGACGAGUAGUGGUCAUGAUAGUCUUCGCUGGAUGCUUGGCCUUGGUCAUUUUUCCAGCUUCACAGGCUCCGCAUAAGUGAUCCUUGAGGAAUUUGACAUUCUCAAUGCCAAUGACAUGCUUCUUCUUCGCAAGCGUGUGCAAAUUCCUCAUGCCUGCAUGACCAAGUCGUCGAUGCCAUAGCCAUCCUUCUGAAGCUUUUGCAAGUAGACACAUGGCUGGUUGUGGUCCUAUAGAGAAAUCAACAAUAUACAAAUCUCCUCUCCUAAAGCCUUCAAAGACUUUGGAAUUGUCAGCUUCCAUAAUCACAACACAGCGAUACUUGCCAAAGACAACAACCAUAUCAAGAUCACAAAGCAUUGAGACUGACAUGAGGUUGUAUCCUAAGGACUCAACAAGCAUGACUUUGUCCAUGUGUUUAUCCUUAGAGAUCGCAACCUUACCAAGGCCCAAUACCUGACUUUUGCCUUUGUCAGCAAAGAUGAUAUGCUUCAGAUGAGACGGUGAUAAGGGAGCAUCCAUCAAUAGAUUCUUGUCACCAGUCAUGUGAUUUGUACAUCCACUAUCGAGGACCCAUUCAGUGGUUUUGGGUUGAUCAUCCUGCAGAUGAAUUAGUGUAACUUACAAUCUCAUAUGCUUCAUCAAUGAAGAAUAUGAUAUCAAGUUCAUCAGAUGAAUUUCAUCAAGCAGUAAACAGAUAUAGCAGUAGGAGGAUGUGUGAAAGUUUAUUUCAUCAUGAUUCGCCUGCGUCCUUUCAGGCAAUUUUGUCAGGUCCCCAGCAAAUUCUUCAGACGUUAAGACACGUCUGGAGACCUGACUCUGCAGAAGAGAUUAGUUCUUUUUCUUCACCACCCACAUCUGAAGGGGUGGCAAAGAGUUCAUCACUCUAUGAGCAAAAACGAGAAUGGUGGCAUAGAAGCCAAACCAUUUUGUUUCACAUAAGAGGGGUUAGGGUAAGCAUAUGAAUAAGUAGAGAAAAUCUUUGAGGACUCAUGAACAUAAUGGUUUGAAGAAUAAUGCACAUAUUCAUAGCCCUUAGCUCUACCCUGCGAAACAGAGUUGUUAGCACGAUGAUAAUCAUAUGAGGACUUUGAUCCAUUUGAGGAAUUUGAUCCAUAUGAAGAAUUUGAUCUGGGGUUCCUGUUCUUCACUGGUGGUGUCAUGAGGACAUUCACCUGAAGACUUUCAAGGCACUUCUUGGGAACCCAGAUUUUCUUCAUGGGAGAACCGUUCCUGCAGUUAGUGCCAACAUAUCUAGCAAAUACUUCACCAUUCUUAUUUUUGAACAGUUUAUAGUUGGAGCCAAAUGACUCAUCAGAAGGAUGAGGAGAUUCACAUGUAAAGCCAGAUAAGUUAGAUGGAUCAACUGGAGAUCCCUUUGCAGCAACCCAUGAGGUUUUGGGGUACUGCUCAGGCUUCCAAUAUGUUCCAUCAGCAUUAAGUUUCCUCUCAAAGACGAUACCCUCUUUCCUAGGGUUUCUGUUGAGGAUCUGCUUUUUAAGCACAUCACAAAGAGUCUGAUGCCCUUUGAGGCUUUUGUACAUGCCUGUCAUGUAUAAUUCCUUCAGCCCUGCAUCGUCAGUGAUACUAGCAAUGUCCUCAGAUGAGGAAUUAGUGAUAGCAGAGGCAGGUGAAGAAUUUGUAACAGUUGAAGCAUUUGAACAUUCAGGUGAAGAAUUAGCAGAUUCACGUUCAAUGCACUUUAAGCAUGGAGGAACAAAUUCUUCCUGAGAAGUGCUGAUUUGUUGAGCAAGUAAUGAAUCGCGCUCCUUCUGAAGAUCUUCAUAACUCACUCUUAGCUUCUCAAGAUCUUGCUUUCUUUGAAGAAAUUCAUAAGAAAGUUUCUCAUGAUUAGAUAAGAGAGUGUUAUGAUGACUUUGAAGGUUAUCAAACCUAGACUGAAGUCUCUGAAGAUUUUCAGUCAGGGCUUUAGUGCGAUCCAUUUCUUCACCUAACAUAUCAUCACUCUUAUCUAGCAUGUUUUGAACCUUUUCAAAAGCCCUUUGUUGUUUUACAGCAAUCUUAGCAAGUUUAGAGUAGUUGGGCUUGAGAUUCUCAUCAGAUUCAUUUUCACUAGAUUCAGAGGAGGUGUAUUUGAGUACCUUUGCACCUUUUGCCAUGAAGCAAUAGGUGGGAACGUAGUCAUCAUUAUCUUCAUCAGGCUUGUUGGUGGGGUCAGUUUCUUCAGUGGUGAAGAUGGACUUGCUAACGAAAGUAGUAGCGAAGGCCAGACUCGCCACACCAGAUUCGGAUUCUUCAGACGCCUCCUCUUCCUCAUGUUCCUCAGAUUCAGCUUCAGAGUCCAUUUCCUUGCCAAUGAAUGCCCGAGCCUUCUUGGAGCUGCUCUUCUUGUGAGAUGAAGACUUCGAGGAUUUUGAUGACGAAGAUUUUGACGAUUUCUUCUUCUUCUUCGCAUCAUCAGAACUGUAAUCCUUGUAUUUCUUCUUCUUCAAUUCCUUUUCCCACUAAGGACAAUCUUGAAUAUAAUGACCGGGUUUCUUGCAUUUGUGGCACAGCCUUCUCUUAUAGUCACUUGAUGAGGAAUCACUGCUUCUUGAGGAUUUUCCAAAGCGACCACGUCUUGAGAACUUCUGGACUUUCUUCACGAGCAGUGCUAGCUCCUGGCUCAAUUCUUCAGGAUCACCAAGGCUACUACCAGAAUCCUCACAUUCAGACUCAGACACAACCUUGGCCUUCAAGGCACGUGGUUUGCCAUAGCUCGAACCAUAGAGAUCUCUCUUUUCAGCAAGCUGGAACUCGUGAGUAUUUGGCCUUUCGAGGAUAUCGGCAGGAUCAAGAGACUUGUAGUCAGCCCGUUCUUGUAUCAUCAGACCCAGAGUGUCAAAUGAGGAAUCAAGCGAUCUCAACAGUUUCUUCACCACCUCAUGGUCAGUGAUGUCAGUGGCACCGAGGGCUUGAAGCUCAUUUGAGAUGUCAGUGAGGCGAUCAAAGGUUUGUUGGACAUUUUCAUUGUCGAGUCUUUUGAAGCGGUUGAAGAGAUUCCGAAGAACAUCAACUCGAGAGUCACGCUGAGUUGAGACUCCUUCAUUCACUUUGGAUAGCCUAUCCCAGAUAAGCUUAGCAGUUUCCAAAGCACUCACUCUUCCAUACUGUCCUUUACUUAGAUGGCCACAUAUGAUAUUCUUCGCUUGAGAAUCGAGUUUCUUGAAUCUCUUCACAUCGGUAGCGUUCAGUGAGGGUGAGGCAGAGGGAACACCAUUUUCCACAACAUACCAGAGAUCGUUGUCAAUUGCCUCGAGAUGCAUUCGCAUCUUGUUUUUCCAGUAGGGAUAGUCUGUCCCAUCAAAGGUAGGACACCCAGCCGAGACCUUGAUCAUACCUGCGGUCGACCUAACUAAACCUCUAGGCGGUUAAACCAAAAUCGCACAGAACAAGGGAGUACCUUGCUUUGAUACCAAUUGAAAGUGCGUUAUGUCGACUAGAGGGGGGGUGAAUAGGCGAUUUUUAAGAAUUCUUCACUGAGGAAUUUGCCGGUGAGGAAAUUCCUUAGCGAAGAACUAUUAGCAGCGGAAUAAGUACUCAGAAGUAAGCAUAACAGAAUACAAACAUGGUCAUCAUGAUGAAAUGAAGACUAGCACAGAGUACAGAAAGCGUAAUCACAGGAUAACACAAGAUGAAGAUAAACAGACUGAAGAAAUUGAACUGAGGAAAUUGAGAAAGUCUUCAGUCAAAGUCUUCAAACACAUAUAUGAACAAACACUCAACACAGUAAUGAGGAAAUGAAAGGGUUGAGAAAAUAGAACCAGUAGGUUGGUGAAGACAAUGAUUUGGUAGACCAGUUCCAACUGCUGUCUCAGUUGUACGUCUGGUUGGAGCGGCUGAGUAUUUAAACUCGAGGACACACAGUCCCGGACACCCAGUCGCUGAGCACGCAGCUCAGGACACCCAGUCCUCACCGUAUUCUCCUUGAACUAAGAUCACACAGAUCUCGUCCAAUCACUCGUGGUAAGUCUUCAGGCGACUUCCAAACCUUCACAGACUUGGUCACUCGGUGAUCCACAAUUCCUCUUGGAUGCUCUAGACCUUGACGCCUAACCGUCUGGAAGAAGCACAGUCUUCAAAGGUAACAAGCGUCGGAUCCAUGCAGGAUCAAUUUCUUCAGUGAUGCUCAAUCACUUUGGGUUUGUAGGGGUUUGGUUUUGGGUUUUCCUCACUCGAUGAUUUUCCCUCAAAGUCCUCGAAGGAUGGGUUGCUCUCAAAUGACAAGUGUCAAGUUCUCUCGGAGCAGCCAACCAACUAGUGGUUGUAGGGGGCGGCUAUUUAUAGCCUAGGGAGCAGCCCGACAUGAUAAGACAUAAAUGCCCUUCAAUGAUAUGACCGUUAGGUGGAUAAGAUAUUUUGGGACAGCUGGCGCGCAGCACAGCAACGGUCGGAAAUUUGACUCUCAAAUUCCUCAGGGCUAUCAUGUUCCUCACUGUGUAGGUAAUUCGCACUGACGAAUUCCUAACUCCUCAGUCAGAACAAAUUCAUCAGCGACCAGAAGAACUUCGUCUCUGUCACUGAAGAAAGUGACUGAACUGUAUGAGAUUUCCAAAGGCUUCACUCGAAGGGAUUGGUAGGUGUAGGAUUUUGAGUUGAGCAUCACAUGGAAAUUUUUCCUUAGUAUUUCCUCGACCCCCUUUAACAGUACGGUGUUUCCUAUGACUCAAGAAAGAGAAAAUGAAACUACGAAAACAAAAUUCUUCACGCUUCAUGUUCCACAAAUGAAUACCAAGUCUUCAAGGUCACACCAAUUUCUUCACUUUCAAAGUCUUCAGAAAGUCUUCAGAAUAUCAAAGUCUUCAGUUGAAGAACUUCAUUUUUAGGGGUCGACUUUCUCUGUAAAUAUCAAACUCCUCAUAGACUUAUAGACCUGUGUACACUCACAAAAGCAUUAGUCCCUUAACCUAUAAGUCUUCAAUACACCAAAAUCACUAAGGGGCACUAGAUGCACUUACAGUCGCAUUGUUUUAGGAAUGGUACAUUUCUGCUUUGUCGUUCUUUAUACAUGUUGAAAGAAGACAUUGUUAAGAUAAUGUCUUAGUUAAUAUGAAUGAAUCACACUGAUUGAGAAUUUCUACUCUCGUGCUUUGUUUCCCAUUAAGAUAAGGUAGAUGUUUUUUCUUCUGGGAGUAUAAGCCAUCAACCAUUAUUUCUUAGUAAUUGUUUCCCUUAUACCUAUUGUUGCAUACAGGGAUAUCAAAACUUCUGCUCGGUUUUAUUUCGAAUUUGAUUUUAGUUGAACUGCAUAAAAGGAGCCAAUGUGUUUAAGGCAAAUUGUUGCAUUAUUGGGCCCAGUUGGUCUUUCCACUUUGCAGAAAGAAGUAGUCACUGUUUGCGCUACAUUACACAAGAAAUGAUCGAGAAGCUUUACAAAGUAUUAGUAGACGCUGGUGACAUGACUAUUCUGCAGAGAGCAUGGGGAACUCAACAACACGUGGAGUGAAAAAUUCACUCCACAAGGAAAGGUAUGACCAAGUGAGUUGUCGACGCAGCUGUAACAAACGAGGUCAAUAUCGGCCUUCAUCCACAUGAUUAUGCUUUGUUAUGUUGUGCUACUUAUAUUGUUGUAUUGUUUAGAAUAAAUGUUUACUUCAAGCUAUUGUAUUGCUAUAUUUUCCUGUUAAGAUAAUGAAGAUGAUUAUAGUUGUAAGCGUAUGUUUAAUCAACUAGUACCACUAUUAUAUUCAUCACGCUUUUUCUGUAUUUAUGCAGAUGGGGAUGCUCGGCUUGAUUUUAGUGGAACUGCACAAAAUGUUCAGAUGGUUCGUGUCCUCCAUAAUACUUCAUCAUGCACAAUACAUCGAAUGGUUCUCUAAUCAUUUGUCGUCACCUUGAGCCACUGGACUAUCUACUUGAAUGGAGUUGCCAACGUGUUUAAUGCUUUGCAACAUAUAAAUACGAAAUCCACCAUGCUACUCAAGACAUUGUUUGAUUUCAAUGGAACUGCACAAAAAGAUACGCUGGUUAAUACGGCUCCAUGUGCCAUUUCAAUGUGCAAACUGAUGACAAACCAUGCCCAUCUGACUGGAGCUACCAACGUCUUCAAGGCAGAAGAAUUCCCACAAGUUCAAGGGAAAGAACUCUGUCUAGCAGAAUACUACCUUUAAGAAGGGUAAGAAGAAAGACAAAAAGAGAGAUGGUUGCUUUACUUAUGGUUCAGAGGAACACUGGGCAAACAAGUGCCCAAACAAGUACAAGAAGUCAGGACAGGACUCCAAGUCUGUCAAUGUCACUCUAAGCAACAAUGAUGGGGCAUCUGGGUAUGGUAAUCUGUUUACCGUACUUUCAGUUUGUCAGUCCACCCAUUGGUGGGUUGACACUGGGGGCAAUAUUCAUGUGUGUGCUGAUGUGUUUUUGUUUCCUUGCAGCAUAUAAAUACGAAAUCCACCGUGCUACACAAGACAUUGUUUGAUUUCAGUUGAACUGCACAAAAAGAUACGCUGGUUAAUCCGGCUCCAUGUGUCAUUUCAAUGUGCAAACUGAUGACAAACCCUGUCCGUUCCCAAUCAUAGGCAUUACAUAUUUUGAAUGGGAAAAACUUGUCAAAGUUUAAUCAUUGAUGUUAGCAAGAAGACAUUAGUUUAAUAUAUUCGAAUUGGAAAACCUUGUCAAAUUUUGCUCAUUGAUGUUAGCCCGAAGACAUGCAUUUGAUAUUUUUUUAGUGGGACGCCCUCGUCGAUCGUUUUUCCUAUUCCUGUGUUCAGUUCAUAAGUAAAUAUUUACUCUACUGAGAUGCAUAGUCACAUGAAUGUUGACUUAUAUAAUGUAUUAUAAGAGUUUCUUCUGAAUGUCGUCUAUGUAAUGCCAGGCCUUAUGAGUUUGAUUGCAAAGUUGAACUUGGAAUGCCGUGGCAUGCGGCGUCACGAGCUGUUCACCAUGCCUCCUGAGAAUAAUGCUUCAUAUUGUUUUGCAUGUUGAUCUAAUGGCAGUGAUUUGCAUGUUAAGAAGAUCAUCCUCUUCUGUUGUUUCUGUGCUUAAGAAGUUCCUUGUCUUAUGUUUCAUUCAUAGCCUAUACGACAACUCGGGUAGGUUAGAGGUGAAACUAUAUGAUCUUCCGACCAACUCAUCAUCUUAGGCCGUGCUUGGAUCGUCGUUUUCCAACCAAAACCGUUUGUAAAAUUGACGCUUGUAAAUAAAAGCAUAUGGUCUUGGGCGAAGUGCUUGGUUGGUCGAUUUCGACUAGUAAAAUAUACACUGGUCUCUCAAAUUACACGCGUAACUCGUCGGUUUUCAUUACAGACCUCGGGCCCUCGGUUUCAUUACGCCUGUAUUUGACGCGUUGUUUGUCCAGAGCUCUCAAGCGCGGGCUUACCGUUUCAUGCCGUCCCAGUUUCUCGAAGGUGCUCAUAGGUGUCUGAUGAUCCUGGCUUCCUGAAUAAGCAGCGGGCGCUGUAUCAGACAUCCAUAGGGCCCAUGAGGCUCUCUCCGUCUUCCUUCGAGUUGUUGCGCUCAUCGUGGCGCCGAGCAUUGUCAACAUGGUCAACGAACAUGAGGAAUCAGAAGAUGACUUUACUUGAAGAGGAUGACAGUAGGGACCCACCAUAUUGUCAUUUUUUACCCACUAGAUUAGGUAUAAUUCUUACCACUAAUCUGCAUCGAGAUUCGAAUAACUUUUUAAGUGGGUGUACCAAAGCAUUCCUCAAUUUAAUUUUUAACUUAAUGUCUGAGAUUUAAUUUUGCUCAUUUCUUGAGUCGGUUUCAGAAGUAUAUAGAGAUCGAUGGUGUGUACUGGUUGUACCUUGAAUAGAAAAGUUGGAGAUAUAGAUUUAAAUUUGCAUAAAAAAAGAGAAGUUAGAGAUAUAGAUUUAAAUUUGCAUAAAAAAGAAAAGUUGGAGAUAUAGAUUUAAAUUUGCAUCAUGGAAUGUAAUUGUUGAAAAUACUAAUUUAAUUCUUGAAUUUUGUUAUAGCCAUACAGGGAGGUUUUUUAUAUGAUACUAUAUUUUUGUAUAUUUAGAUAUACAUGAUAUUUUAAAGAACGAGCGAUUGAAAUAUGGAACUAAAUUAAUAUGACCAAGAACUAAUAAUUUUCUACCACAACGAUACGAUGUAGUUUCAGAAUUACCUACUCCCGAUGGGCACCCCUCCUAAAGAGCCAUCCUUUCUUUAAAAAAAACAUGAAUGUGGUAGAGGGAAAGAAAUACUAUACCUACGGAACAUUUGUCAAAUACAGUACAUGGAAAAUGGUGCUUUUGAAAUGCUUAAAGACCUUAAUACAUGUUGCAGGUCAUCACUAGGCAAUGACACUUAAAGAAGUGCAGGGUUCUAGAAGUACAUUAAGCGAAAAGUAUAAAACAAACCAGCAUUUGAUCUUUUGUCAACAUCGAUUAAUAGAAAACAGAAACAGUAUUUUACUGUGUUGAAGCACUGCGUUAAAAACGCAUUCACAUUCACAGAAACAAAUUUAUUCUGCUCGGGACAACAAGCAAACUGCAGGCAAAGGACCCAUGAGACUAGUCUCAACUACACACUGCAACAGGUGAAAAAUGAUGCAUCUUGAAGAGUUCUAGUUUCAUGACUUCACUUGCGGAGGAGAGUCGCCCUGCAGAGCUGGAUCUGAUUUGAUGGCAUCUAAUGUCUUGAAGAACUCCUCAGGUAGUGCAACGGGCCGGUGCUGCGGAACAUGCUUGGGAAUAGGUGUGUCAUCUUCAAUCACCUCGCAUUCGUAGUCAUCAGGAACACCCCAGGGAUCCCACUCUGCAAUGCAUUGCAACAUAUAGUAAUUAAAAUAGAACUGAUACUGAAAGCUUUUGUAUCAAUUAGAGAUUCUCAUACUGGAGACAAUAGCCUAAAAAACAGCAUUUCGGGCAUAGGCACAGUCUGAGAUCUUAACCCAAAAGAAAUGGAAGAUGGGU